rnacentral:misc_RNA from 1 species
AAAUAAGAAAGAGAAGAGAGGAAAUAGACAGAGGAGUACGCGAAAGAACACUGUGAAGGAGAUUGCUCCUAGCUCCUUCUUUCAUACCAGGAAAGAGAAGAGGGGAUGCUUGCUUCAGUGCCAACUAAUCAGUGAGUCAAGCCUGUCUGCCCUUUAAAAGCCAAGGGUAAGAGAACAAUAACAGGAAAAGCAGGCUCCCUCACUUAAUCAAU